rnacentral:tRNA from 1 species
GGAGAGAUGGCUGAGUGGUUUAAGGCACACGCCUGGAAAGCGUGCGUGGCUAAAACCCACCGAGGGUUCGAAUCCCUCUCUCUCCGCCA